GCGGUAAUACGUAGGUGGCAAGCGUUGUCCGGAAUUAUUGGGCGUAAAGGGCUCGCAGGCGGUUUCUUAAGUCUGAUGUGAAAGCCCCCGGCUCAACCGGGGAGGGUCAUUGGAAACUGGGGAACUUGAGUGCAGAAGAGGAGAGUGGAAUUCCACGUGUAGCGGUGAAAUGCGUAGAGAUGUGGAGGAACACCAGUGGCGAAGGCGACUCUCUGGUCUGUAACUGACGCUGAGGAGCGAAAGCGUGGGGAGCGAACAGGAUUAGAUACCCUGGUAGUCCACGCCGUAAACGAUGAGUGCUAAGUGUUAGGGGUUUCCGCCCCUUAGUGCUGCAGCUAACGCAUUAAGCACUCCGCCUGGGGAGUACGGUCGCAAGACUGAAACUCAAAGGAAUUGACGGGGGCCCGCACAAGCGGUGGAGCAUGUGGUUUAAUUCGAAGCAACGCGAGAACCUUACCAGUCUUGACAUCCUCUGACAUCCUAGAGAUAGGACGUCCCCUUCGGGGCAGAGUGACAGUGG
rnacentral:rRNA from 1 species